rnacentral:rRNA from 1 species
UACGAAGGGGGCUAGCGUUGCUCGGAAUCACUGGGCGUAAAGGGCGCGUAGGCGGCCAUUCAAGUCGGGGGUGAAAGCCUGUGGCUCAACCACAGAAUUGCCUUCGAUACUGUUUGGCUUGAGUUUGGUAGAGGUUGGUGGAACUGCGAGUGUAGAGGUGAAAUUCGUAGAUAUUCGCAAGAACACCAGUGGCGAAGGCGGCCAACUGGACCAAUAAUGACGCUGAGGCGCGAAAGCGUGGGGAGCAAACAGG